rnacentral:sRNA from 1 species
GAAAGGAAUGGCGACGGCUCUCGGACAUUGCCAUUCCUAUUGGUCAGGCCGUCAGCGCCUAGUCCUCGGGGCGAGGUUCCGCUUCGCCGACAUUGGCGCGGGCGGCGGUCAUGGGA